AUGAGGUUGUUUGUACUCAUCUUUCUUGGGAAGGCUUUCCAGGUAUUGGAAAGAAUGUGGGUGUUGUGAUCUAAGCUGUAUCGGCCUUAGGGGAAACCCUAAGCCCACUAAUGCUGUAGUUCUUGCAGACUUGUAGAGGUACCACCUUGGUGGUCAUAGGUAAGAAUUCUCUGCAUUACCAGGCAGAGACUCUUAUGCUUGUCCCUUAGUAUUUUCCAAACAAAUGGAGUCUGUCUGUCUCUGCU
rnacentral:lncRNA from 1 species